UACGUAGGGCGCAAGCGUUAUCCGGAAUUAUUGGGCGUAAAGAGCUCGUAGGCGGUUUGUCGCGUCUGCCGUGAAAGUCCGGGGCCCAACUCCGGAUCUGCGGUGGGUACGGGCAGACUAGAGUGAUGUAGGGGAGACUGGAAUUCCUGGUGUAGCGGUGAAAUGCGCAGAUAUCAGGAGGAACACCGAUGGCGAAGGCAGGUCUCUGGGCAUUAACUGACGCUGAGGAGCGAAAGCAUGGGGAGCGAACAGA
rnacentral:rRNA from 1 species